GUCCCCGUAGUUUAAUGGAUAGAACAUCAGAUUGCGGAUUUGAAGGUUGUAGGUUCGAGUCCUACCGGGGACA
rnacentral:tRNA from 1 species